rnacentral:rRNA from 1 species
GACGAACGCUGGCGGCGUGCUUAACACAUGCAAGUCGAACGCUGAAGCCCUUUCGGGGGUGGAUGAGUGGCGAACGGGUGAGUAACACGUGGGUAAUCUGCCCUGUACUUCGGGAUAAUCCUUGGAAACGGGGUCUAAUACCGGAUAGGACCUGUCCUCGCAUGGGGGUGGGGGGAAAGUUCCGGCGGUAUGGGUGGAGCCCGCGGCCGAUCAGCUUGUUGGUGGGGUAGUGGCCUACCAAGGCGACGACGGGUAGCCGGCCUGAGAGGGUGACCGGUCACACUGGGACUGAGACACGGCCCAGACUCCUACGGGAGGCAGCAGUGGGGAAUCUUGCGCAAUGGGCGAAAGCCUGACGCAGCAACGCCGCGUGGGGGAUGACGGCCUUCGGGUUGUAAACCUCUUUCGACAUCGACGAAGGGGCCCUGUUGUGGGGUUUUGACGGUAGGUGUAGAAGAAGCACCGGCUAACUACGUGCCAGCCGCCGCAGUAA